AUUGAACGCUGGCGGCAGGCUUAACACAUGCAAGUCGAGCGGAGCGAGGGUGCUUGCACCUUAGCUUAGCGGCGGACGGGUGAGUAAUGCUUAGGAAUCUGCCUAUUAGUGGGGGACAACAUUUCGAAAGGAAUGCUAAUACCGCAUACGUCCUACGGGAGAAAGCAGGGGAUCUUCGGACCUUGCGCUAAUAGAUGAGCCUAAGUCGGAUUAGCUAGUUGGUGGGGUAAAGGCCUACCAAGGCGACGAUCUGUAGCGGGUCUGAGAGGAUGAUCCGCCACACUGGGACUGAGACACGGCCCAGACUCCUACGGGAGGCAGCAGUGGGGAAUAUUGGACAAUGGGGGGAACCCUGAUCCAGCCAUGCCGCGUGUGUGAAGAAGGCCUUAUGGUUGUAAAGCACUUUAAGCGAGGAGGAGGCUACUGAGACUAAUACUCUUGGAUAGUGGACGUUACUCGCAGAAUAAGCACCGGCUAACUCUGUGCCAGCCGCCGCGGUAAAAC
rnacentral:rRNA from 1 species